rnacentral:rRNA from 1 species
AAGAAGAAACUGUGUGAAAUUUUAGUACCUGUGAAGAUGCCGGUUACCCGCGACAGGACGGAAAGACCCCAUGGGGCUUUACUGCAGUUUGAUAGUGAGUAUCUGUACCACAUGUACAGGAUAGGUAGGAGCCAUUGACUUCGGGCCGCCAGUUUCGAAUGAGGCGGUGUUGGGAUACUACCCUUGUGUUAUGGCUACUCUAACCCAGAUAGGUUAUCCCUAUCGGAGACAGUGUCUGACGGGCAGUUUGACUGGGGCGGUCGCCUCCUCAAGAGUAACGGAGGCGCCCACAGGUUCCCUCAGAUUGGUUGGAAAUCAAUCGCAGAGUGUAAAGGUAUACGGGAGCUUGACUGCGAGAGCUACAACUCGAGCAGGGCCGAAAGUCGGGCUUAGUGAUCCGGUGGUACCGAAGGGAAGGGCCAUCGCUCAACGGAUAAAAGCUACCCUGGGGAUAACAGGCUUAUCCACGCCGCAGGUUUCCAGACACGGGGAGAUUU